GACGAACGCUGGCGGCGUGCUUAACACAUGCAGGUCGAACGAUGAUGCUGGAGCUUGCUCCAGUUGAUUAGUGGCGAACGGGUGAGUAACACGUGAGCAAUCUGCCCUUGACUCUGGGAUAACUGCGGGAAACUGUAGCUAAUACCGGAUACUUUCACCGGAAGGCAUCUUCUGGUGAUGAAAGAAUUUCGGUCAGGGAUGAGCUCGCGGCCUAUCAGCUUGUUGGUGAGGUAACGGCUCACCAAGGCGACGACGGGUAGCCGGCCUGAGAGGGUGACCGGCCACACUGGGACUGAGACACGGCCCAGACUCCUACGGGAGGCAGCAGUGGGGAAUAUUGCACAAUGGGCGCAAGCCUGAUGCAGCAACGCCGCGUGAGGGAUGAAGGCCUUCGGGUUGUAAACCUCUUUUAGCAGGGAAGAAGCGAAAGUGACGGUACCUGCAGAAAAAGCACCGGCUAACUACGUGCCAGCCGCCGCGGUAA
rnacentral:rRNA from 1 species